UCGCCGUGGCCGCUAGAGACGCUGGCUGGCUGUUGGCGAUGGUUAUAGGUGCUUUGAGGAUUUGAGUAGGUGCUCAAUACGGCGGAGGAGAACACAUCACAGAUGAAAGAGAAGGUGCCAGAGCUUGCACCUUUCGACCCUACGAAGAAAAAGAAGAAGAAGAAGAACGUGGUGAUUCAGGACCCUGCAGAUGAGGUGGAUUAGUUGGCUGAGAAGACUAAGAAUUUAACAGUUACUGAGUCUGGUGAGCUAAGUUUUGCUGGGAUGAAAAAGAAAAGGAAGAAACCAGUGGAAACUGAUUUCCUUAUUAAUGAUGAGAAUGGAGAAACUGAAGAGGAUGUUGCUGGUAAGCAGUGCCUGUCAUGUAUGAGAUAUGUAGUUUGUAGUUUGUAGUUUGUACUUUGUAAAGGUGGUUUCGAAGAUUUUCAAAAUGUUAUACAAAGAAAAGAUUUUGCUACAAUAAUAUCUACCCGCCACAUCGCGCGAGUUAUUACACUAGUAUUGAAAUGAAGACGUAAGAUUCCCUCCUAUCCAAGGGAAUUCCCACCGACGCUAGCGCGUGUAUCAAAUUCAUGCUACAAAACGUUCAGGGUGUAAUGCAUACAAAUUAGUUGGUGGGAUCAUAAAUUACAUCAA